rnacentral:rRNA from 1 species
AUUGAACGCUGGCGGCAGGCCUAACACAUGCAAGUCGAGCGGAGCGGCGGACGGGUGCGUAAUGCCUAGGAAUCUGCCUGUUCGCGGGGGAUAACGAUCGCAAACGGGCGCUAAUACUGCAUACUCUCAGUAGUGCCUCGGUCGGAUUAGCUAGAUGGUGGGGUAAAGGCCAACCAAGGCGACGAUCCGUAUCCGGUCUGUGAGGAUGAUCAGUCAAACUGGAACUGAAACACGGUCCAGACUCCUACGGGAGGCAGCAGUGGGGAAUAUUGGACAAUGGGCGAAAGCCUGAUCCAGCCAUGCCGCGUGUGUGAAGAAGGUCUUCGGAUUGUAAAGCACUUUUAGCAGGGAGGCGGUACCAGCAGAAUAAGCACCGGCUAACUACGUGCCAGCAGCCGCGGUAAUUC